rnacentral:rRNA from 1 species
UCGCCUGUUUUUUCAAAAACAUCUCUUCCUGAGUUUAAUAGGAAGUAGGCCCUGCUAAUUGCUAAUGAUAAAAGCGGAUUUCCUUAAUGUAGCGUGAUAAAUUGGCCUUUAAUUGGGGUCCGGUAUGAAUGGGUUGACGAUAGAAAAGCUGUCUCAUUGGAAUAUAUUGAACUUUUCUUCUCGGUGAAAAGACCGCGCUUCUGUUAAAAGACGAGAAGACCCCGUCGAGCUUGAAUGAAGCUUCCACUAUGGUAACCGAAAUUUUAAUUGGGGCAAUUGCGGAAAAGAUAACCUCCGCUUUUAUGUGAGGAUCCAUUACUUAUGAAUAAAGAAAAAGCUACCGCGGGGAUAACAGCGCAAGAUUGCUUUAGAGGCCUUAUCGACGGCAAUAAUUGCGACCUCGAUGUUGGAUUAAGGUUACUUUUAGGCGCAGAAGCUUAAAUAAGUGGGGCUGUUCGCCCCUUAAAUCCUUACAUGAUCUGAGUU